rnacentral:sRNA from 1 species
AAAAAGAAAACCUAUUCUUUCAGAGCACCGCACACCUAUGUGCCUCCAACACCAGACAGAAUUUCAUUUAGUAUUCCUUCUGGGAAAAUGAGGGAGAAAACCUUAAAACCUCUUUUCAGCAGGGAAAAUUUUCUACUCAUGAAACAUCCCCACAUCGCUGAAACAUCAACAAAAAAACUCAAUUUGUUAAGCUAGACAGUCAUACUGACGGCUGAAGUGGUUGCCGAAAACCAUCAAGAUACAGCUUCACAUCCACAGGUUAUCAGCACGAUGAGAUCCCCCGUCAUGUUGCUCGGUAAAAUUCUGGCGUUACUGCAUUAACCCCUACACUCCUCAAGCUUCUGCUGCAGCCUCACAUUAAACACUUACACAAUCAGCAAUUUCUUCCUGUUUCAGAGGUGGAACUAUUUCAUCCUCUUUCCAGCCAAGAGAAACCAAGAAAGCCAUCUCCUCUGGACUAGGUCUGUCUUGAGCAGGAUAGGAUUCCUCUUCCCCUGUUCCAAUGGGUUCAAACAACAUAACAGUUUCAUCAUCACUACAGUUGGACCCCAUGGAGCCAUCAUAAAUUUCUGCAGGUAUGAUGGACGGAGAGGAACCAGCAUUAUUUGUAUGGGGCUUCAUAUAUACAUCUUGUGUGUCAGCAAUUUCUGAUGAAGAGUUAAAAUCCCUGUUGUCAGACAGAACCUCUUGCAUUCCUUCAUCAAAAACAUCAUGUGGUUCCCAUGGUGGAUUGAUUUCCUCAUUGUCAGAAAGGUGCUGCUGAGAUCCCUCACAAGAAUUUGCUUCCUCACAAGAACUACUUCCAUGUUCCAUACAUUUGACUCCAGAAUCAAACAAUUCAAGACAAGAGUUGUUUUGCUCAUCAAGCAAUGUAGAUGAAGACACAGUAGAAGUGCACGAACCAUUCAAUGAUUUGCUGCGCAGCAACUCAAAGAAUUUAUGCUUAUCUUUCGCACUUGAUUUUCUCUCACCAAAUGAUCCUUGCAGUUGUAAAGGGAGACCAUUAGCAACACCCUUUAGCUUUUGGUUUACAAUAGGCUUUCUCAGUGGUUCUACUGAAUAUGAUCGGCCUAGAACAGGGCUCGCAGGAUUGCUAGUACUUUCUUUGGCAGUAUUUACAGUACCAUUCUGCUCACGGCUAAGGACUUGAAAGCUUCCUGAUUGAGUUGGCUUUACAAGCUCAUGUUUUACUGGAGCGCGAAUAAAGCUGCCAGAAAGCUGUAAUGGCAGUUGCAUUGUACCCUUGACAGGGCCAUUAGAAUCUCCAGCUCUUGCACCUUUGGAUUUUAACUUAUCUGAAGAACUUGAUACCUAAAUUUUGUUCGAAGAAGGUGUCCGAGGUCUUAGGAUGCACUGCUUCAUAGUUCUUUCUUCAAUCUUAUGAGUAUCGAUCGAUAACUGGGGUGUUGUCGAGAUUUUUAACGGAGCUUGCAUCACUGUUUCAGCCAUACUUAAUGCAGUCCCGCAGUUUGGCACUUCCAUCUGCUUACUGGAACCAGUGCGUAACAAAGAAGAUGGAACAGGGCAGUUGGUUGGUCCACUAAGUACAGGAACUUCUGCUAGCACUGAACUCCGCCCAUCAAGUGCAGUGCCCAAAGGCAUACUCUGAAUCGGGGUGCUAAUUCCAGGAGAUGGAACUCUACCUACAUCUUGCUUUCCAUUCUUGUCGUCAGAACCAAGGUGUGGAAAUUCUCGCUCAAAGGAGACACCACCAGAAACCUUUCUUGAUACACUACGAACACCAUUGUCUAAACUUUCUCCUACCGCCUGAUUCAAUGUAUCUACCUUCAAACGAGUAUGAUUAAGCCUGUCCCUUUCAGGUCUGCAUGAGCUGAAUGGCUUGAAGCCAUCAUACAAGGGAUCAUCAGGUGGACCCAACCUACUCUCCCAAUUACGGGAUUCAGAGUCCUUCUCACCCCCCCUGUCCCGGUUGCUCCUUCCAAAACUGGCAUAGCCUCUUGACUUUGCUGUACCAUCCCGGUCAUGCCGUCUAGGUCCAAUUGAGCCAGAACUCCUCCGUGAGAUGGACUGUUGUGAGCUCCGUUCACGGUCACGACCUGAUGAUUGGUUUCUUGAUGAAAUGCUCCUACCUUGAUCAUCUGCGCGGCGAAGAAGUUCCAGUCCAGAGGCUCGUGGCAGCCACUGCGCCAUGCCCCCGCACCAGCCAUUCUGGCUUCAGCGAGGGCUCACCUCGGUCCAUGCCGGGCCUGCACCCUCACCCCCCCUAAACUUCCACCAGCACCAGCAGCGGGCGGAGGCGCGACAGCGGCCACUGAUCCAAUCCGCCGCCACAACACGAUCCCCACACCACC